UCCAACUUACAUACCUCUAUGGCGAUGCAUUGCAUGGCAAAUCAGCAAGAAGUGUUUGGAACUGUGUGCAUGUCUGCAGGGCUGUGAUCUUAUUGGCAUCACAGAGAUGUGUUGGAAUGGUGCCUAUGACUGGAGUUUUGGAAUGGAAAGAUACAAGCAGAAAGGGAAGAUAAGUGAGAAGAGGGUGUGUCACCCUGUGUCAGUGACCAACUGUGAUGCAUGGAACUCUUCCAUGGAUCUCUUAGAAGAUGAGCCAGUUAAGAGUUUAUGGGUCAGGAUUGUAGGGAGAGAAGGGAUAGGCCGUAUUACAGUGGGGGCCUUCUACAGGCUGCCUGUUCAGGAAGAAUAAGCAAAUGACUCUUUCCAUAGAGAGAGGAGCAGCCUCACAUUCCCAAGUCCUGAUCCUCAUGGGGGACUUCAGCCAACUAAAUAUCUGCUGGAGGGACAACACAGGGCACAAGCAGACCAGAAAAAUCCUGGAAUGUUUUGAUGAUGACUCCCUUCUCCAAAUGAUAGACAACCCAGUGAUGAGAGGUUCUCACCAACAAGGAGGGUCUGGUGGGAAAUGCAGAGCUCAAGGAGCAGCCUGGGCUGUAGUGGUCAGGAAAUGGCAGAGUUUAAAACCCUUAUGGCAGUGAAGAGGGUGCACAGCAUGAACUCCAGGAGAGCAGAAUUGGACCUCUUCAGGGAUCUACUUGACUUGAGACCAAUGCGGCAGCCCUCAAAGUCAGCUCCUACUUUUCCUGCCAAAAGAGAGUUAAAUUCUGAAUCCAAAGGAACUUGAGAUAAGAAAAAGCAGUGAAAUAGAUCUUUGAAUAAGAUGCCAUCAAAAUCAAGGGAGGCUGAAUUGGAACUUCAGAGAGCUUUGAAUCAAGAUCUUUAGGCUACAGUGGCAUCUCAUAAUUGACUUGAGAUGGAAUCUGCUUUGCUUCACCACCUGAUGGCCAGGCCAGACAGUCAAGAUGACUCCUCAGGAAGGUGGAAAUAGAGAAGAGCUCCUUUUCCCAUGCUGUAAACAAUCUAGAGUGCAAGAGCUAUAUAUUAGGAUAUUUCUGGGUCUGCAUUAAUAAGCCCUACUUCCACAGAGGACUCUAAGGACCUUGAACUCCAAACCAUUUUUAAAAUACAAGAGGAAAUACUGGGUGUGAUAUCUGUUCAACUGACAGUUGGUCUGGGAUCUUCACCCUGGAGAAAGAGGGUGAAACCAACCUGUGGAAAAAGGUUUGU